rnacentral:rRNA from 1 species
CCUACGGGAGGCAGCAGUGAGGAAUAUUGGUCAAUGGACGAGAGUCUGAACCAGCCAAGUAGCGUGAAGGAUGACUGCCCUAUGGGUUGUAAACUUCUUUUAUAAAGGAAUAAAACGAGGCACGUGUGCCGUUUUGCAUGUACUGUAUGAAUAAGGAUCGGCUAACUCCGUGCCAGCAGCCGCGGUAAUACGGAGGAUCCGAGCGUUAUCCGGAUUUAUUGGGUUUAAAGGGAGCGUAGAUGGGUUGUUAAGUCAGUUGUGAAAGUUUGCGGCUCAACCGUAAAAUUGCAAUUGAUACUGGCAGUCUUGAGUACAGUUGAGGUAGGCGGAAUUCGUGGUGUAGCGGUGAAAUGCUUAGAUAUCACGAAGAACCCCGAUUGCGAAGGCAGCUUACUAAACUGUGACUGACAUUGAUGCUCGAAAGUGUGGGUAUCAAACAGGAUUAGAUACCCCAGUAGUC